rnacentral:lncRNA from 1 species
AUGUGCUCCACGUGUGGCAGCCUGCAGGGACACAGGGAUGCUCUCAGGGAGGGGAGGCACUGGAGAGACCACCACCUGCUUCUCACCCUGUGUGAGCAGUCUGUCCACAGCCCCUCCUCUGCCUGCCCAACUCCACCUGUGCCUUGGGGUCUUUUCCUCAGGAGCAGCCCCUGCUGCAGACCAAGCUUGCUGAACUCUGCUCUUGGGGGACAGACUCAAGGAGACCGUGCGUGUCUGAGAGACAAUGUGCAUCCUACCACCGGAGCAGGACAAGGAGACUCAGCCAGACGAGAAAUGGACACUUCCACAACCAGGCAAGAGUUGCACCUGCUGUCGAAGGCUUUAAUUCCCCUUCAGUUAUCUAGAAGCCAUCUCAGAGCAUCUGAGGUUCUCUCACUGAAGGUCACAAAUAUCUUUGGAAUUCUAAGGCUGAAAAGGUAGAGUUUGUGCAUGGAAGCAUGGAAGUUUAAUGCUGAGACAAAGCUUCUCUCAUAGGCUUGGAGGUGUCCAUAAGCAUGCCCUUUAGCCUUCACAGUACAUGAGAUUGUAAUGGAGUAGCCUUUGCUACCAACCAGAUGGCUUACAUGGGUGCAAGCCAUGUCCUGCAAGCCUGGACUCCAUUUUUCCUGUGUUCUCAACAUGCAGUGAAGCCACUCUGACCUUGUAAGCAAAUUGCUUUGACAACUUAUACCCAAAUGAUCCCACAGAAUAUUACUUUCCACCUGCAAAAAAAGUAUGAAACCAGUCAAAUCUUAGAAAAAUCAUCCCAGAUUACAUGUCUGCUGAUGAGGCUGAUGGAUCAUUUGAGCAUCCAGGAACAGACAUCUUGGUAUCACUCCUAUGCUGUGGUUGCAAUCACCUGAUGUUUUUUGUCCAGCUGUGGCCAUCUUCUAGCACUUCAGAUAAUGGCAAACUCCACCCCACAGCUCCCUCUCAGCUCCGCAUAGUACACAUAAAGCUGAGUGUGUUGUUCUCAGAAAAACAAAAUCAUUCUAGGUUUUGGGGGUGUGACUACAUGAACCUUGCAGAGCAACAAAUUCUAUAGGUACACCUAAGGUGUCUGCCCUGACAGCUCUCUCUGGAGACCUUAGGAAGAGGUGAAGACAUUAUGAAGAUUUAUAGGAAUGUACAUCUUCUCAGCAAUGUUUAAGACUGAUAAUAGUGAAAUAAGAGAUUAUAAAAGUGCUUUUUCUUGUGCUGUUUCCACAGUUGUACAGAAUAGACACCAGUGCCAAGGGACCAACAGUACAAGAAGAAUUGCUGUGUGAAAGUCAAAACUAGUUCAAUUCAGGCUUGAAGUAAUGGAGGAACUUUUAAAAAUAAAGCAAAUUAUUGCCUGGAAGUCA